CCGCCUCUUUCUGAGGGCUUCUAACUGCUCCCUUUAUGCAUUUUUUUUUUCUUCACACCAAAGCGACGGCACUUUAAAAACCCAUUUAAAGCAAAAAAUGUUCCACAAACGAGACUGAUGUGGCACCCGCUCCUUGCCAUUAUUUAUGCUGUGGAGAGAAAAUGACUGGCUGAGUGGAACUCAGCCUUGGCUCUCGAGAGGAUCACAGCCACGUUCCACUUGGUAAAUUACAGAAGGGCAUAUUUGCAUUUAAUAAAACGUCAUUGAUGUUGCCUCAGAGCUAAAUGAGAUAACUUUUCGUACACGCCUUAACCCCUUAAGCCCAAAGCUACCUGGAAAGGUCAUCCCAGCAUUCAGCCGGGAAGUAUGAGGUCUGAACAGGUCAAUGGAUAUGAGAAAUGAAUCAGUACUGGUAGUAGCAGUUGUAGUAUAAAGGGUCGUGGGGGGUGCUGGAGCCUAUCCCAGCUGUCAUAGGGCGAGAGGCGGGGUACACCCUGGACAGGUCGCCAGUCUGUCGCAGGGCCAACACACAGAGACAGACAACCAUUCACACUCACAUUCACUCGCACAUUCACACCUAGUGGCAAUUUGGAUUAUCCAAUUAACCUAUCCCCACAAGUUACUUUUCAAAGUAUGUUUGAUAAAAUACUCUUGGGAAAAGAGGAAGUCUGAGAGAAGAGAGAGAGAGAGAGAGGGAGAGAGAGAGAGAGAGAGAGAGAGAGAGAGAGAGAGUGUGUGUGUGUGUGUGUGUGUGUGUGUGUGUGUGUGUGUGUGUGUGUGUGUGUGUGUGUGUGUGUGUGUGUGUGUGUGUGUGUCAAACAGGAAGUCUGAAUACAGCUUGUGAGCUGGUGACAGACGUUGCAAGAUGAAAACAGAGGAAUUAGAGACUGAAUGUCUUAGAAAGUAAUAAAAUGAUAUUAAUUACAUGUUUUAGUGUGUCAAUACAGGUGGAGUCUUCUCAGCCUAAAAACAUGAGUACAGAGGCAAAAGAUUAACAGUGUAAGAUUAACAGAAUUGGGAGGAAAAAUAGGUCUGUCACGGUCUGGCUGGCAGACCGUGGGGAUGUGGGGAAGGAGGACCCAGGCGCAGAGCUCAAAGUUCAAGCAGUGCGUUUAUUCACAGUGAGGUAAUUGUACACCACACAAUAAUUCUCCAAAGUGCUCCCUCGACUCCCGUGACGUGCCUUCUCCCAAGUGCUGGUAUCCCGUGCUCUCUGCCCCUGUGCCUUCACACACCCCGUGUGUCUUGCAGUCCUGUGUUCCGCUGUCCUCCUGAGGAAAAACAGACACAGCCGUUAUGGCACCAACUCCGGCAGGCAUACACUUAACAACACUAGAGACACUGACGUGGAGUCUAACUCAACGAUCCUGCACCGGAGGAAGCUCCAUCGCUCUGUUAAGUAGCUCCCCCGACGAUCCUGAUCAAAAGCAGGUGUGUGGUAAGCUAGGCGUGACCAGCAGCUGGCAGGGCCACACCCAUCAAGCCUGCAGGUGGCUGUCCUUCAUCCUCCAGCCACACACACACACACACACACACACACACACACACACACACACACACACACACACACACACACACACACACACACACACACACGUGCACACACACCAGCAUGGAACACAAGAGCACAGUGCAGCAAACAUACAUCCAAUACACUAAUAACAAUAAAGGUCCACACUGUUCACGAACCCCGAGUCCCCGGAACCGGGUCCGUGACAAGGCCAGAUUUUGGCUUAAAAUUUUACAGCUUGACCUCCCACUUGUCCCGAUCCUGAGAAGAAGCUCAUAGGACAGUUAAUCUCCUGAUGAAGACCGACAGAACAUCGUGGACUUGAAGAAUUAACAGCAGACAAAAAGACAGUGCAACUGACGAUACCAGCAGCAGGAUGGAAGAAACCGCGUGAUGGAAAAUGCACGGUGAACUGGAGGCUGGUAAGAACAGUGUGACAUAACUGUUUAAAGGCACUGAAUGUGAUAUUUUGCCAGGCUGGGACUUAAUCUAAAAAGAAAAUACUGAAGAGAAACAGAGAAGAAACAGACUGUGUUGUUGGAGAUUUGACGGCCACACAGGACACUGUGAAGAGAGGGACAGGGACCAGUGAGAGGUGAAGCCCAGACGAGUUCGACUGCGAGAAUAGAGGGUAAAAUUGGGUUGAAAUUGAAGCCGGAACUCAGGCUGGUUUAGGGAUGUCCACGUCACAAACAAAGAGGUAAACAAAAAGAAGGUAAAAUAAAGAGAGAAAAUAACUAACAAUUACAUUAAUGAAUAGAAAACACACAUACACAAAUUGUUACAUGUGAAAUAAUUUUUGGAAAGAAUCAGAAGUGAGAUAGUUUGAAUCAGAACUCAGUGAAAAGAUGCAUGAAUUGAUGCAAGUGUGAACCACUAGACAACUCUGUCAGAGAAACAAUUCUGGCAGAAUGGAUGGCGAAACUACUAGAAAAUAGGGAUAUUGUUUUGAACAAUAAACUGCCGUGCGACGCUUCUCCAGUCUCUUGCAGGUUGAAACCAGGCGAUUGGGUUCUUAUCAAGUGUCAUUGACUACACCCACAGCCUGUAAAAUUGCAGAGAGACCAUUUUGGAUUCAUCAGAGCCACUGCAAGAAAGCAGAGCUUGAAGCCCAGACCAGCAGAGAUUCACGAGUGUAAGGGGUGUUUCACCAGGUAUCAGUAGGUCCAGUGACGAGGGAGGAGUGCUGAUUGAGCUCAGCUCGCACUCUCAUUCACUCUCAUGUUGGCCAAUCAGAAGUCUAGAAGCCUCGGUGGGAAAUAGUAAAGAAAGAUGGGGCAUAGAAGCAGAACCCAGUCCUAUGUGUGUAGGGACAGUAACUGUGUGUAUAUGUAAGCAUUUAAACACUGCAGAGAGUACAAUUAACAGUAACAGUAUUGUAGAAAUUCAUUUCACCGAAACAAUAACGCAGCGCACAGUGUGACGUCAAAAAAGGCCCACACCUUUGACGCUACGUUUUCUCCGUUUUUCUCAUCCGCACCUACAGUAUAUGCAAAAACGGAGUUUUCGAAAAUAUCCACCCUGGCAAGCGUUUUUAGAAAUCUCCGUUUUCAGUGACCAAAAACGCCGUUUAUGUGUGGACGGAAGGUGCAAGCGAAUCACAAAUAUAAUACUUUUUCCAGUCAAUGGGAGGAAGGUAAUUUAGAACCUGUGGAGCAGUCAGGAGGGAAUAUAAUGGAAUAGAGUAUUGUUUUUAAAUGGUAAAUAUUAAAUUAUGUUUCUUGUGUAUCCUGUUUGUUACCCAAGCAAAGCUGUGAGCUGGCUUGCACAUGAGGGUAAUGCAAUGUAGUGAUAAUUGGAAACUCCUAUUGCAGAAGCAAAUGUUGGAGAAGACCUGCUCUCAUCACUUUCACGAGAUGACAUCAAAGAUCUGUUUCCUGGUCCUGAACAUUUCCUCAGGCGUCGGGCUCUAUGGCUUGCAGUGCACAAAUGUGAAGAAAACAAGACUGCUGCUGAAAAAACGCUAACAACUACUGGAGAUGGUGACUUCUCCAGAGAGGAACCCAGCACUUCUAAGUUUGUGACUAUGUCCAACCCAGAGUACAUAGUCUUCACAGACAGUGAACUUGAGCAAGCUCGACAUUCUUACUUUGAAAAGAAGCGGCUGGGGACAGAGUGUGCUGAACCUUUGUCAAAGGAACUCUUUUGUCGACUCGUAAGAAACACCAUGACAAACAUGAUUUCGAUAGCAAGAGCAGCUGACGACUCCAGAUACCCCAGCAAACAUGAGGUUGAUGCCAUGGCAAAGCGAUUAAUGGAGUACUACCCAAUGCUUAAAGAAACGUGUGGUGAGUGGGAAAGACAAAAAACCUCCUGCGAAGAAGCCAAGAAAGGAUGGGAAUGAAAGCGUUGCAAAAAGUGACAGCAGUGGGGAGUCCAGUGCAUCAACUAUUAUUCUAGAUAAAUCACCAGUUAGAUCGAUGGGCACCCCAGUGCACCACCAGGAUGGCAGUGAUGAAGAAUCUGGUUCAGCUGACUUCUUUGACAGCCAAAAGACCCAGGCAAGACACUACAAUACACUUCAAGAAAUAUACAAGCCCAAAAAACCAAACAAAGCUGCUGUUACCCAACUGCUGAACCUGGAGUUUGAGUCUAGAAGACAAUUCAUUAACUCUGAUGCUAUAAAGGAGCAGGACAGAGCAGUGAAGAUACUAGAGGCAUAUCCUUGUUUCAGAGAACUGGAUCAUGUCCUUGAUGAGCUGCGGAGAAUUAUUCAACCAUCCAACUUGAAAUACAUUUCUGAGAUGAAGGAUAGAUGGGAAAUCUUCUACUCGAAGGUGCAGUUUUAUGGUGUCAUGAAGAAAGUUAUGAAGCCGCCAAAAACUUUGGAUGGAGUGGAACAUGCAGCAGCUGUGUUCAGAGCCCUUCCCGUGCUUUUCCCUUCCAGCACAGUACCACCUAAGAAGCUGGGCAUCUGUAGUGAGGCUUUUUUCCAUGUCCUAAAGACUUCAGAAGACCCUGAAGGCUACCUGCGUCAGCGACCCCUGGCUUGUCCAGUUCUGCUUGUCUCUGAAGGCAACUGCAUGAUAGCUGUUGGAACCACACCGGUGAGCACUUUUGACCGGAAGGAUCUUAAUGAGGGACUGCUCUAUCUGAUGGCAUAUUACUAUGCCCUCCACCUCACAUAUCCAAAGUGCAUUUCCACGCUGCUGUCUGUCUUGCAAACUGAAAUACUCAAAGACUCCAUCCAUGACCGAGAUUCAACCCCCUCUUACAAGAAGGCGCUUGGUGAGUGGAAGUCAUUCAUUGAGUGAGUCUCUCAGAUGACAGACUCCAUCUGCCUUGUUUAUCAGACUCAGUGUUAGUCAGUGAGGUUGUUUUUUUUCUUUAGAAAAGUUGUUCAAAUGUAAAACACAUGUUUGUUUGUGUGGUCGUUCAACUUGUUCUUCUAAAAUGUUAUGUAAUAUAGGAUUUGAAAUAGUGAUUGUUUUAAGCUUCAGCAAAAUUUAUUUUUGAUACCAGCCAUGAGUGUGUUAUACUGUUAUUAUUCAUGUUAAGAGUAUCUGGAAUAUGCACUUCUUAUAUUGGCCAUGUUACACAGUACCCUGUUGAAAUGUAUAAUUUUAGACAUGAUUCUCCUGGAACAGACCUCAGUGAGUUACUGACCCAUUGCUGUGUCAAUAAAAGCGCAAAAUCUAA
ensembl:lncRNA